AGAAAGUGAGAAAGAACAGAAAGCAGGGACGAAACAUGGGAAGGAAAGAAGGAAAAAGGAAUGAAAGAAAGAAAAAGGAAAAAUUGGGAUUUUGAGGUUUGAAGGUUUAAUUGCUAGCGUUGUGUCGAAAAAUCUCAACUAAGUGAGAAAAAGACAAAGUCAACGAGGGAUAGCUUGGAAAUUACGGUUUGUAUUUCCAUAAACCGAAUCUAAUAAUUAUUUGUUGAAUUUAUUAUUUAGUAUGAAUGGUAAUAAUAAUAAUUAUUAUUAUGGUAUUGAAUAGAAUAAAAAUUCAUGCAUUAUAUGUGAUUAUUGAUAUUGGAUUGAAUGUGUGAUAAGUAUGUGAUUAUUGAGAAAUGAAUUGAAAUAUUUACUGAUUUUAAACAUCGAUAAAAUGACUGUUAUUUAAAAGAAGACUAAAAACCCUAUCAACAGUAUCAGGCUAGUCGGAUAUAGUUGGCAUGCCAUAGGAUUGGAAGUGUUCAGGGAUAAUCCGACUUUGUGUCGAUGAGACACUAUUUUUGUCGACUACUGUUACUGUUCCAAAUUCGUUCCGAAGAGAUACUCCGUACCUAACUGUUACUGUUUCGGAUUAGUUCCGAUGAGGUACUUUGUGUACCGCUACUAUUACUAUUACUGUUAUGUUACCGUUACUGACACAGUGUAAUCCGGCUCUGGCCGAUGAAACACUGUGUACUAUCCCCGGUGUGUGGGUUGGAUCCGUGUAUCUAUCCAGGUCCGAGUUAUGUUAUUAGGGGUAAUGAAAAGUAUUAAAGACUGACUGCUACUGAAUAAUUGACUGUUAUUGAAUAAACGACUGAUACUGAAUAAAUGAUUGUUACUGAUUAACCGACUAUUACUGUUGACUGACUGGUACUGAACACUAAAGAUCAAUUGGUUGUUACCAAAGAAUAUUGACUGUUAUUGAAAUGAAAUAGUACAGAAUAUUGAACGAAAGGGGAAUAAUAUUAUUAUUCAAAUGAAUUGUAAAUAAAAGUACUGAAAAACUAAUUGUUACUGAAUAUUGGACUGCUACUGAAUGUCUGAAAGAUACUGAAUACUGGUUGUUACUGAAUUAAAUAUGAAAAAUUGACGGAUAAUGAAUAAACAUUGAAACUGUAUACAUUUCAUCGAAAGUGAUUAACAAUAUCUUAGUAUUAUAAAUCAAAAACAAAUGAUUGCACUAUUAAGAGUAAUAGAUUGAAUUCUCAAGGUUCACUGAUAUAUGAUUUAUUAUUGACUUAAGUAUCGGUUUAUAGAAAUAACACUAAGUCCAUACUCAGCGCACGAUUUGUUUCCGUGCGCAGGUUAAAUAAAGCUAGA
rnacentral:lncRNA from 1 species